rnacentral:lncRNA from 1 species
GUGUUGGGAUCUGAGUGUUCCUUUGGGAUCGGGUGUUCUUUUUGAGAUCUGGAUUUGGUUGUUGGGGUUUGGGUGUUGUUUGUUGGGAUUUGGGUGCACACCGUGUUCACCAAGAAGGACGACAAGAAGGACAAGCGGAAGAGCCUGGAGCCCUGGAAGCUCUACGCCACCGUGGGCGGCCUGGUGGCCUUCGACGUGGUCACGCUGAGCGUGUGGCAGAUCGUGGANUGGGUGUGGUUUGUUGGGAUUUGGGUGUUCCCUUGGGAUCCGAGUGUUGUUUGUUAAGAUUUGGGUGUUUGGGGUCCGAGUGUUGUUUUUGGGAUCCGGGUUGGGUUGAGGUUGUUGGGAUUUGGGUGUUUCUUUGGGGUUCCGGUUGUUGGGAUCCGGGUGUGGUUUGUUGGGAUCCGGGUGUUCCUCUGGGAUUUUGGUGUUGGGAUUUGGGUGUUCCUUCAGGAUCUGGGUGUUCCUUUGGGGUCCAGGUGUUGUUUUGGGAUCCGGGUGUGGUUUGUUGGGAUUUGGGUGCUCCCUUGGGGUCCGAGUGUUGUUUUUGGGAUCCGGGUGUUCUGUUUGGGUUGAGGUUGUUGGGAUUUGGGUGUUGUUAAUCCGGGUGUUCCAUUGGGGUUGAGGUUGUUGGGAUCCGGGUGUUCCUUUGGGGUCCAGGUGUUCUUUUUGGGAUCUGGGUGUUGUUUUUUGGGAUUUGGGUGUUGGGAUUUGGGUGUUCCAUUGGGGUUGAGGUUGUUGGGAUCCGGGUGUUCCUUUGGGGUCCAGGUGUUGUUUUGGGAUCCGAUUGCAGAUUUUUGGGAUUUGGGUGUUGUUUGUUGGGGUUUGGGUGUUGGGAUCCGGUUGUUCCAUUGGGGUUGAGGUUGUUGGAUCUGAGUGUUCCUUUGGGAUCUGGGUGUGGUUUUUUGGGGUUUUGUUGUUGGGAUCCGGGUGUUCUUUUUGGGUUGAGGUUGUUGGGAUUUGGGUGUUGGGCUCUGGGUGUUCCUUUGGGAUCCGGGUGUUGUUUUUUGGGAUUUGGGUGUUGGGAUCUGAGUGUUGCUUUGGGAUCGGGUGUUCUUUUUGAGAUCUGGGUGUUGGGGUUUGGGUGUUGUUUGUUGGGAUGUGGGCGCACACCGUGUUCACCAAGAAGGACAAGCGGAAGGCGAGGACGGAACAGGCGGACGGGGGAUGGGGGUUCCUUUGGGAUCCGGGUGUUCUUUUUGGGAUCCGGGUGUGAUUUUUUGGGAUUUGGGUGUUGGGAUUUGGGUGUUGUUUGUUGGGAUUUGGGUGCACACCGUGUUCACCAAGAAGGACGACAAGAAGGACAAGCGGAA